UCUUUGAUAAAAAAUCAAUAUGGCCGUCUUUUACCGGUCGGUUUAUAUGUUUUGAUGAUUUUUAAUUUGAAUUUAAAAUCGACCUAACAGGUGAAUCAGUGCUGAUUAAGUAGAAUAAUUUUCGAUAGCUAAAUAUAGUGCCUAUAAUUAUGGAAGCACUAAUUCCAGUUAUUAAUAAGCUUCAAGACGUUUUCAACACCGUUGGAGCUGAUGCCAUUCAAUUACCCCAAAUCGUAGUGCUGGGAACUCAGAGUUCCGGCAAAAGCUCCGUAAUAGAGAGCCUUGUAGGUCGCUCCUUUCUGCCUCGAGGCCCAGGCAUUGUUACACGACGCCCUCUCAUCCUGCAAUUAGUAUAUAGUCCUAAAGAUAGCAAGGAACAUCGCUCUGCUGAAGAAGUAUAUAGAAACCAGGAAACAGGGAGUGUAUCAUGGAAUCCAUUAGUACAACUGUCCCAAACAAUUUCACCCAAAGGUACAAUAAAUUUAGAAGAAUGGGCCAAAUUUCUGCAUACAAAGGAAAAAAUCUACACAAAUUUCGACGAAGUUCGACAGGAGAUAGAGAGAGAAACGGACCGCAUGGCGGGCAGCAACAAAGGAAUAUGCACAGAGGCGAUCAAUCUGAAGAUAUUUUCCACCAAAGUUGUCAAUUUGACACUCGUAGACUUGCCUGGAAUCACAAAGGUGCCCAUAGGUGAUCAACCUGAAGACAUAGAGAAUCAAAUUAGGGAUCUUAUAAUCAAAUAUAUCGCCAACCCCAAUUCAAUAAUACUGGCGGUCACUGCCGCUAACACAGACAUGGCUACCAGUGAAGCUAUCAAAAUGGCUAAAGAGGUGGACCCUGAUGGAAGGAGGACAUUGGCUGUGGUCACAAAACUUGAUCUCAUGGAUGCCGGCACCGACGCGAUCGACAUCCUCUGCGGUCGAGUGAUUCCUGUCAAGCUGGGCAUCAUCGGCGUCGUAAAUCGAUCGCAACAAGACAUCAUCGAUAAAAAAUCCAUUACGGAUGCCCUUAAAGAUGAAGCUACGUACCUCCAAAGGAAGUAUCCAACGAUAGCUUCACGCAACGGCACUCCGUAUUUGGCGAAGACCCUAAACCGGCUCCUAAUGCACCAUAUAAGGGACUGCCUGCCGGAACUCAAGGUUCGCGUCAACGUAAUGAUCUCACAGUUUCAAUCGCUGCUCAACUCGUACGGUGAAGAUGUAUCGGACAAGUCACAAACGCUGUUACAAAUCAUAACAAAGUUCGCCAGCGCAUACUGUUCCACCAUAGAAGGCACGGCAAGGAACAUAGAGACCACGGAACUAUGUGGUGGUGCUAGAAUAUGCUAUAUAUUCCAUGAAACGUUUGGACGGACACUGGACUCUAUACAUCCUUUAGUAGGCUUAACACGCAUGGACAUCUUGACUGCAAUAAGGAACGCGACGGGCCCCAGACCUGCGCUGUUCGUGCCUGAGGUCUCGUUCGAGCUGCUGGUCAAGCGACAGGUCAGAAGGCUGGAAGACCCCUCGUUACGCUGUGUGGAGCUGGUGCAUGAAGAGAUGCAGCGCAUUGUGCAGCACUGCGGCACGGAGGUGCAGCAAGAGAUGCAGCGCUUCCCCCGUCUGCAUCAGCGCAUCGUGGACGUGGUCACGUUGCUGCUGCGUACGCGACUGCCCGCCACCAACGCCAUGGUUGAAAACCUCGUGGCCAUCGAGCUGGCGUACAUAAACACGAAGCACCCGGACUUCCACCGCGAGGCGGCGCUGGUGUCCGCCCUGCUCACCAGCGACGGGCUGGUGGAUGACCACGGGCCCGCGUACCGGCAGAAGGCCCAGCGGCCCACCUCCACACCGGUAGCCUCAAUUAUCAGACACAUGCCGGCGAUCACCGACGGGCACGACAAGUCUCCGCCGCAUCCCAACAACGACUCGCCUAUCACGCCCCAGUUGAAUGGCAGUCCAGAGAACAAAGCGGCAACUCCUCAGAAGCCAGUCAACCUGCUGCCUGAAGUACCCAGCCAAACAUCAAGGAAACUUUCAGAUAAAGAACAACAUGAUUGUGAUGUCAUUGGUGGACGGAGCGACACAACAAACCAAAAUUGUAACACAAACACCAUAGAAGGCAUCCGCAUGAUGCAUUUGAACCAUAUGGGUGACCUAGUGGAGCGACUGAUCAAGUCGUACUUCUACAUAGUACGCAAAUCGAUCAAGGACACGGUGCCCAAAGCGGUGAUGCACUUCCUAGUGAACUACGUGAAGGACAACCUGCAGUCGGAGCUGGUCACGCACCUGUACAAGAGCGACCAGGCCGACAGCCUGCUCAACGAGUCCGAGCACAUCGCGCAGAGGAGGAAGGAGGCCGCCGAUAUGCUCAAGGUAUGAGUGAUGCACUUCCUGGUGACUUACGUGAAGGACAACCUGCAAUCGGAGUUGGUCACACACCUGUACAAGAGCGACCAGGCCGACAGCCUGCUCAACGAGUCCGAGCACAUCGCGCAGAGGAGGAAGGAGGCCGCCGAUAUGCUCAAGGUAUGAGUGAUGCACUUCCUGGUGACUUACGUGAAGGACAACCUGCAAUCGGAGUUGGUCACACACCUGUACAAGAGCGACCAGGCCGACAGCCUGCUCAACGAGUCCGAGCACAUCGCGCAGAGGAGGAAGGAGGCCGCCGAUAUGCUUAAGGUAUGAGCGAUGCAAUUCCUAGUGACCUACGUGAAGGACAACCUGCAGUCGGAGCUGGUCACGCACCUGUACAAGAGCGACCAGGCCGACAGCCUGCUCAACGAGUCCGAGCACAUCGCGCAGAGGAGGAAGGAGGCCGCCGAUAUGCUCAAGGUAUGAGUGAUGCACUUCCUGGUGACUUACGUGAAGGACAACCUGCAGUCGGAGCUGGUCACGCACCUGUACAAGAGCGACCAGGCCGACAGCCUGCUCAACGAGUCCGAGCACAUCGCGCAGAGGAGGAAGGAGGCCGCCGAUAUGCUCAAGGUAUGAGCGAUGCAAUUCCUAGUGACCUACGUGAAGGACAACCUGCAGUCGGAGCUGGUCACGCACCUGUACAAGAGCGACCAGGCCGACAGCCUGCUCAACGAGUCCGAGCACAUCGCGCAGAGGAGGAAGGAGGCCGCCGAUAUGCUCAAGGCCCUGCAGCGCGCCGGUCAAAUCAUAAGCGAAAUCCGCGAAACCCACAUGUGGUGAUGGUCUGCUGAACAUGAAGACUCUAGUCUGUGAAAUAGUGAAUUAGAGCUCGCAGCUCUGUAUAUACAUACUCCUGUAUCUAUACUAAAGCCAAACUCUAUGUGGAAUGUUUGUCAAUAAACAAGUGUUGAAACGCUCGACAGAAGUGAUAACUUAUGCCGGCUCCACAUUAGUGCCGUAACGCUCCGUGAACAGGUGCGAACGUGAAUUUCAAGCACAUUCACGCCUGUUCUCCGAUCAGAGUCGGUAUUUUGUCCCCCGACAAAGGGUUCGGGUUCGCACCUUAUUCGCGUGGCGUUCAAGCAUAUAAUGCUCGCCACGCAACGACAAUAUAUUGUACCCACGGUACAUAGACUGCAUGUGCGUUUCAUAAAAACGGCGCACGAAAGUUGUUCCCAAUACUAUAGCGGGGAGCAACUAUUUGACAAGUUUUCAUACAAUCUUCUGUCAGUUCCGUGAGCCGUGGGAAUGACAGUGAUCAUCGAGUUUAUGUACCGUAGGUACAAUGUAUGUCGUUGUCACCACGUAUGUUUGUGAAGUUAGCUGCGGAAUGAGUAAAGAUGUGCGGUCGCGUCUAGCCGGCUCCCCGCCCGCGUCGUUUGUACCGUUAUUGAUUCAUUGCUCAGUCAUUUGUUGCUAACUUCACAAACACGAUAUCUCGUGGCGGGUACUAUACACAUUCAACUUUACCAAACUUUAACAAAGUUAUUGCUGCAGCAGAUUCUAGUAGAUUGUGAGCAUCCCGUGAAUGUGGAAAUUGAAAUGAAAUUGAAAUUGAAAUGAAAUUUAUUGUUAAAAUAAGUCCUUUUACAAUGGUGCUGAGGACCCUGAUUUAAGUUUGAUAAACCUGUAUCUCAGGAUCCUCGCUCUUCCUACUUAUAUAAAAAUGUGGAGGGCAUAGACUCGUGCUGUGAAUUCAUGGCGAGAGUUCGCGCGUGAAUUCACGGCACUAAUGUGAAGCCGGCUUUAAAAUUGCUGCGUGCGUGAGAGAAACGGGUGGCGCCGUAACGCGUUACGUUACGAAGAGGUUUACCCUCCUAUAAGAAUUUAUCACGUAUGUCAUUUCAUUCCUAAUUUUUUUUUAAUUAUAUAAAAUGUUAUUCAAAAGAUAUUUAUGUAUUUCAAUUGUUGUAACCUUAUUAAUGAGAUAUAUUGUCAUUAAUUUAGGAAGUUAAUUAAAAUUAUGUAUGUGUAAAAUGACUACCUAUUUACACCCUCAUUUUUAAUUUUUUGUUGAUGAACAUUUCACAUCGAGAAUGGCUUUAGUAUAGGUGAAUAUAUGCAUAGGCAUUUUUACUUAUUCUAAAAAAAUAAAUCUUCGUACAUACAUUUGCUUUGGCGCCGGUCAUAUUUUCUGCGGCUCUCGCGUCCUGUACAUGACAAUCCGGCUUUGUUUUAUUCUAAGUUUUGUAUUUUGAAAUACCAAAAAUUUUGGGCCAAAGCAGAGAAUAUCGGAGCAAAUGUGUGUUUCGUAGUCCAAGAGACGAUGCAAUGAUAUAUGUCACAGAAUAUUAUAUUUAUUAAUUGUUGGUAUAAAAAAAACAUAUCAGUUUGUGUGAUUGCGAUUAGUUAAAUUCGUUUUGUUAUUGAUAUUAUAAAAAAUACGAUAUACUUUUAUUGAUAUUAGAAUGAUUACUUUAUUGUAAAAUUCAAUCAAAUCACACUAAUAUUAUAAAAGCGAAAGCUUAUGUGUAUGUUUAUUUCUCCUUUGCGCCGUAGCUACUGAAGCGUAAAGUUUGGAGUGGAAAUAGAUUUUACCUUGGAUCAACACAGGCUACUCUUAUCCUGGAGAAAAUCCAUGGUUUUCGGGAUUUUUUAAUUUUCAAUUUCACAUGGACGAAGUCGCGGGUGUAUGAUUAAAAUUUCAAUAUAAAACAUUAUUAAUGUAUAAAAAUUCACAGCUGACAGGUGAACUUUAACUUAAAAAAAAAACUUAGCACGGGCUUAUCUCUAUUAAAGAUGCAAAUACUCUUAACAAUUUUAGCGGUAAAAGUUUCUUGUUGCCAAAUAAUAUCGUCGCCUCUUGGACUAUUUAAUAGUGUUUUGAACACUUAUGAAAUGUAAGAUUCGUGCUUAACAGAACUGUUUUUUUUUUUUAGUUUUUCCUAUAAGUUUUUAUUGAUUAUGCAAAAUGAUAUAUGUCAAUUUAUUGGUAAUCCGAAAAAAUGUUUAUAAUUUUACGUAAACAACAAGCGAAAGCAAAUUAAUUAUUAUCAUUCGUAGUUGCACAAAAAUUAAUACCGCUUGUUUUUCCAUUUAGUUUCCAAGUUACCAUUUCACUUUUUUUUAUCAUGUAUUUACAAUUUUAUUAGGCUAGUAUACACGUGCGUGUACAUUUUACACUAGUUUAUUGUCAGUGAUAUUAAUUGUAUUGUAAACUCUUGAAGUUCUACUCGGUAUUAGGGCGUUCGUGAAUGUUUAUUCUAUAGAACUUUUUUUUUUUAAUGAACUGCGAACGUCUGCUGCGUGUUUGUGUACAUAGUAUGAAAGCCUGCAUUGCCAGACAUACCUCAGUUUAUGAAGACUGAACUUUCAGUUUAUGAUGACUGAGACCCUUUGUCUAUGCUCCUGCCUACCAUAGGUACGGCUGGUGGCUUUUGAACUUAGACCAAAUAAAUAUGGACUUGUAUCGCACCCAUUUUUUCACAUUCACCAACAAAAUUGUCGGACAUUUUUUUGUGGUAAACUCGCACAUCGAAUAUAUUUAACUCCAUUGUAUGUAUAUUUUGUGUCUCUACACUACACACUACUACUAAUUUGAUUAAACACACACAUAAUUUUCACACAGACUAACAAAAACAUCGUUUAAGCUAUCCACAGAAUAUUCAAUUACUUGAUCGACGUUUUGCUGUUCCGGCUGAAGAAUCGAUUACUUUUAGAUAUUGUUUUUAUUACAAAUUUGAUAAUUGAUAUAAUUAACUUAAAAAUCCUUACAAAUGAAACUCUACAUGACGAAAACAAUCACAACAGUGAAACAUCGAUUAUAUAGAAACAGUUUUUAUAAAUGCGUUAGUUCGUUAAUCUUGAUCUUUGACAGAGGGAUAACCUCUAGCGAGGCAGGUCCAUAUAUGAUUCUUCUGAACUUUGGAAGUUAAGCCAGUUUCAUAGGGUCCAGAUACUCGAUCAUCCCAAGUAUUUUUUUGAUAUUUUCGAUGGGAUAUUCUUAGGAAUUACUUCUUCAGUUGCCAGACCUCGAGCUUCGUGGCAGACUAAAGACUUUUUUAUUUUAUUUUUUAAAAAGAAUAUUUGUCAUAUCUUUUAAAUAUGACCAAUAUUCCCAUUCCUCUCCAAUUAGUUGGAGUUUGAUCUUUAAAGAGGUAUGUCUGGAUAAUACAGGCUAUUUAGUCCAAUAGUUCGAAUUAUUAUUUGUUUCUCCUUAACAGGGCAGUGGUAUGGUUUUUUUUACGUUUUUAUUUGGCUAAUUAAUUCGUAAUUUCAAUAAUUUUAAUAUUGUUCGUUGUAAGUCAAUAGUUCCUCGUUGAUAUUGUUUCACCAUUAAGCAUUCAUUCUCGUCAUUUUGUGUCAUCGUUUAAAAAAAAGUAUUUAUUAGAAAUGAAUUUUAUCAUCGCCGAUUUAAUGGUAGUAAUUCCAAUGUUAGCAAAUGUAUUUAUUGUUAGUCCGAUGUGUGAUGUGCUUUGUGUACCGAACUAAACCAAUUGAAUGUUAAACAUGAUUGUAUAUUUAAGUCUGUUAUAAAAUAUAGAAUAUUGUGAUGUA